UACGUAGGGUGCGAGCGUUGUCCGGAAUUAUUGGGCGUAAAGGGCGCGUAGGUGGCGAGCCAAGUCCAUGGUGAAGGCUCGAUGCUCAACAUCGAGUCGGCCACGGAUACUGGUGCGCUUGAGCACUGUAGAGGCUAAUGGAUUCCGGGUGUAGCGGUGGAAUGCGUAGAGAUCCGGAAGAACACCGGUGGCGAAGGCGGGUUAGCUGGGGCAGUUGCUGACACUGGAGGCGCGACAGCGUGGGGAGCAACAGG
rnacentral:rRNA from 1 species